GACGUAGGUGGCAAGCGUUGUUCGGAAUCACUGGGCAUAAAGCGCACGUAGGCGGCUGAGUAAGUCGGAUGUGAAAUACCUCGGCUCAGCCGAGGAACUGCGUCCGAUACUGCUCGGCUUGAGGUCCGGAGGGGAGAGUGGAAUUCCCGGUGGAGCGGUGAAAUGCGUAGAGAUCGGGAAGAACGCCGGCGGCGAAAGCGACUCUCUGGUCGGGAUCUGACGCUGAGGUGCGAAAGCUAGGGGAGCAAACGGG
rnacentral:rRNA from 1 species